GACGAACGCUGGCGGCGUGCUUAACACAUGCAAGUCGAACGGAAAGGCCCUGCUUUUGUGGGGUGCUCGAGUGGCGAACGGGUGAGUAACACGUGAGUAACCUGCCCUUGACUUUGGGAUAACUUCAGGAAACUGGGGCUAAUACCGGAUAGGAGCUCCUGCUGCAUGGUGGGGGUUGGAAAGUUUCGGCGGUUGGGGAUGGACUCGCGGCUUAUCAGCUUGUUGGUGGGGUAGUGGCUUACCAAGGCUUUGACGGGUAGCCGGCCGGGGAGGGUGACCGGCCAGAUUGGGAGGGAGAUACGGCCCGGACUCAUGCGGGAGGGAGGAGUGGGGAAUAUAGCAUAAUGGGCGGAAGCAGGCUGCAGCAACGCAGCGUGCGGGAUGACGGCCUUCGGGUUGUAAACAGCUUUCGCCUGUGACGAAGCGUGAGUAACGGAAUGGGUAAAGAAGCACCGGCUAACUACGUG
rnacentral:rRNA from 1 species